rnacentral:rRNA from 1 species
GCAAGUCGAGGGGUAGCAGGGAGCUUGCUCCGCUGACGACCGGCGCACGGGUGCGUAACGCGUAUACAAUCUACCUUUUGCUGAGGGAUAGCCCAGAGAAAUUGGGAUUAACACCUCAUAGUAUGAAGACUUGGCAUCGAGAUAUCAUUAAAGGUUACGGCAAAAGAUGAGUAUGCGUGCUAUUAGCUAGAUGGUGUGGUAACGGCACACCAUGGCAACGAUAGCUAGGGGCCCUGAGAGGGGGAUC